GCGGGCUCCCCGCCCUCUCCGUGCGCCCCGGCCGCUCCCCGCCUCCAGCGCGCCGCCUUCGGGGAUGUCCCGCUCCCCUCCCAAGAGCGCCGGGCCACGGCCGUCGUGCCCCCUGGAGCCCCGGCGAGGGCGGAGACUCAGUGGAAAGAAGUGAUCGUCUGCCCCGCAGUCCCCUCGAAGGAGGAGCCCACCCGCGGCUGGCUUAGUAGGGUGUCCGGGUUGCGGGGCAGGCACCUGCUUUCCUAUGGACUGCCAAAACUAACCCAGAGAAUUCCCUCCGGACUCCCAUCUCCCAGCUGUACUUUGGCCUGCCCGCCCCACUCCUGGUGUCCACCUGUCAGAGGGCAGCCCACGUGCUCCAGUUCCCUGGUCCCCAACCUGCAGGGGCGACCUCUUGAUCGGAAAAUUUUAGAUUUCUUGGUAUCAACACUUCGCCUCCCUCAGGGCCUCUCCUCGUAGUUGGGUAAACAGCUCUGUCUCUUGACUGGGGACACCUGUCCCAUUUUCCCAGGACUGUUCCAAUUUCACUGUAAAAGGAAAAAAAAAAUCUGCUCCCUGAAUAGGAAACUUCAUCCAGCACCUUGUGCCUAGUUCUGACUCUGGCUGAAGUGGAGGCAGCCCAGCUGCUCUCCCUCAGCCCCUACUCUGACCCUAAAGAGGUCAGACGACACCCUGGCAUCCCCAUUCCUGGGACCUCCAUGCUAGUUUCCAUCUUUCAAAGACGGUUAGCUUAAGGUUUUCCAAACUGAGAAGAGCAAAGAGGGGAUUUACUUGCCGGUUAGAUGUAGAAUAAAUCCACAAACCCAAUUUCCAACACGGAUGGGUGAGAAGAAUUACUAAGGAACCUCUCUUAUACUUGAGGCACAUUACCAAAGUUCAAGGCAAACAGCAUCCCCUUCAAUAAGAAACAUUUGAAAAACUAUCAUGUAUUUUACUUGUGCCAAAGGUUAGAUAAUACAAACAGUGGGAACCAGGGCAUAAGUCAACUAAGAUCCCAACUGUCGCUUUCUCAUGCCUACAGUCAGCAUCUUCUUGUCCUUUCUUUCUCCUUCCCUUCCUCCCACUGUGUUUCCUUCUCCUCUUUUCCUAUUUGGUUCUCUGCUAUGUUGCCCUUGCUGCCUGGCCUCAGGAACAGCCGCCAGAGCUCAUGAAAACAAUUCUCAUUCUCAGCUAUUAUCCCCACAGCUGAAGAAGUGCUGAUUCUCUACUACCCGGCCAUAAAAAAGAAUGAAAUCAUGUCUU
rnacentral:lncRNA from 1 species